CAGCGGGAGGCGCCAUUUUGUAGCCAGGGAGGGAGGCUGGUCCUUGUGACUAGCCGGGAGGGAGAAGGGGUGACGGGCGCCAUUUUCCCCACAGGGGCUAGGAGGUGGCAUUGGCUCUCCGGUGGGCUUGCUGAAGCGCGUUCUGGAGACCGGUUGGGCUUUGUCUAGUGACCGCCGAGUGUCGCCCGUUGGGAGGGAAGUGGUAGGGAGGCCUAAGGACAGGAUGGGACGCCUGACCGUCCUCUGGGAGCUCUCGGCGCCAGCUGAGGCCUUUGGUCGUGGGCGAGGGCUUUCCCGAGACCUGCUGCAUGCGGGUCCUUGGCUGCCAAGCCUGCCUGCGCUUCUUCCAGUCCCCGGGGCACCCCCCUUUGGUGGGAGGUUAGCCUCCUGCUCCUGCUGAAGUUUCGGCGGAGCCUGUCAACGGGGCGGUGGUCUUGAACUCUGCUGGGAAACACUGCGGAUGCUUUUGCGCUUUCGUGCUAUUUAGGUUCAAAAUUUGAAGUCGUCUGUAAUGGUGUCUCUGCCUUCUCUUCUACUUUCCGUUUUGCGUGUCCUGAAUUAAAGGAAAGUUAAAAAGGUGGGAAAAGCAUUGACUCGGGCUCCCCAAACCUGUUAACAAUGGAUACAAAUUAGUUGUGAAGUUUAGGUAAUGUUUUCUUGUAGCUCUCAACCCAAAUUUUGAACUAUUGGGAAUACUAGUCAUUUCAGGAGUAUUCAGUAAGUAUUCAUUUUCUUUGGCAAGCAGGCGAAGUAAAGAUGAGAUAAAGUGUAUAGACUGUAGAUUUGCUAAAUCGGGCAUUUCAGGUGUAGAAUUGAGUUAUUAAGAGAAUGAGGAGGCUGGGCCCCUUUCAGGAGGUUUGUGUCAUAUUUAGAAAAAGUGGAAAGAGCAGGAUGAUGUUUGAUUUAGUGUCUUUGCAUUUCAGGUGACUAUAGAAUGGCCAAGGUGUUAAAUCAAAAGGAUGUCAUAGCCAGCCUUCUAAGAGAGGAUAAUUAAAAUGUUUUGGUUUACAGUUGAGUCCAGUUUGAGAUUGUAACGUUAUCUCCUUUUUGGUGAGGAGUAGGGAGCAGACUGAGCCCAACCAAGGCAUAGUUGCAUAAUUGGUGCCCAAACGCCAUUCGGACGAAAAAAGGACUCUGAGUUUUGUUUGAAUACAUUUUCUUUAGAAGUUUAAAGUAGUUAUUGUUUACACCCUUAUAAAAAAUGAAAGAUGUGACACAUAGAAUUGGAUUAGGUUACUUGAAACUGGAGGAACCGGCUCACUUAAAAAUCUCCUACCCAAUGGAUAGAUUCCCUUUGUCACAGACAAGUACAGUUCAGGUGAAAAACAAGGUGUUUUAAUUUAUACUUUCUGUACCUUCCAGAUAUUGUAUUUGUAUUUUGUGAUCAGAAAUGUUAUGAAAAGAAUCAACACACUUUUAUGCAGUUUAGCCAAUUCAUUACUAAGUCUUAUGCCUUUAGUCUGCUCAUUAAGACACUAGUACAGAAUUUCAAAAGGAACUUAAAAAUCACCCUAUAAUUGUAGGUUGCAGUUACAGGACAUCUUUGUAUCCCCAGAACCUACCGAGGGAUUUUAACAAUUGAAUGGUGGUGGUGGAUAAGAUGCUAUGAUUCUAAUCUGAUUCAGAGAGAAACCUUAAUUCUGCUUUUGUCACAGUCUUGUUUUCCUCGGAGUUGACUUCAUUCCCUAUGUGGUGACAAAGAUGGCCACCAGCAGCUAGAGGUUACAUUCCAUCAACUUAGUAGACGAGCAGAGAGUGCCUCUUUUCUAAUAGCUCCAGUAACAUUCCAGACCUUGACCACCUAUCUGCAUCUUUGCCCCAGUUGCAAUCACUGGCACAUGCUUUUUGUGUUCUUACAGCCUACCAGUUCAAUCAACUGUGCGUGACCAAGAGGACGGAAAGCUUGGGGUGCUUCCAGUUAUUGCACAAUAAAAGCAGGCAAGGAACAAGUUGGCCUUUGAUAAAACAGUCUUUUGGGGCACAGAACUACUCUGGUGUGGCCUCUCUUCCUCCGUGAGUCCCCUUCCCCUCCUCGCCCUCACUUCCUGAUCCUUCAGCAACAACAGGAACUCAAGAGGCCCGGCAGGGCUAAGCCACAGCAGCCUCUGAUCUACAUGAAAUUCACUUUGAGGCUGCUUCUGGAUUAGAAAUACCAGGUGAUCCAUUUAACAGACAUCACAGCAGCCACCAGAGAGUUAUGUGAAGCCCCUAAAAUGACAGAGAAAACCAAUGUCAAGGGGACGUGUUGGUGAUUCUGCUAUAGUUAAGACAGGAAUGAGGAGAUGUUCACAGUCAGCAAAGUGAUGACACUCCAGCCACUGAGUGCCAACUCUUGUGUCUCAAUCCCUAUGACCUCAGUCCUACUGACAGGAGCACAUCUAAGACCAGCUCCAGCCAAGUCAAGCUCUUUGAAGUCUUUGUACAUCUUCAUCUAGGCAGAGGUGGAGAUGGUUCAGACUGGGCCUUGAGAUGCUGUCCCUUAAAACUUAGUCUAGUAUUGUGGAAGUGUAAAGAGCAAGGUGAAGCACAGUGGGGUUAGAGACAUAGGUAGGGACUGAGUCCCUGGAGCUUGCAGGGGAGGAGCCUCAGAGGGUUUGCAACAGGGAUGUGACAGGCUCGGAUCUACGUUUUGGAAAGAUCGCCCUGUAACAAUGUGGGGAACGCCUUGAAAAGGGCAAGACUAGAGGCAGAGA